AGAGUUUGAUCCUGGCUCAGGAUGAGCGCUAGCGACAGGCUUAACACAUGCAAGUCGAGGGGCAGCGGGGGUAGCAAUACCCGCCGGCGACCGGCGCACGGGUGAGUAACGCGUAUGCAACUUACCUAUCAGAGGGGGAUAACCCGGCGAAAGUCGGACUAAUACCGCAUGAAGCAGGGGCCCCGCAUGGGGAUAUUUGCUAAAGAUCCAUCGCUGAUAGAUAGGCAUGCGUUCCAUUAGGCAGUUGGCGGGGUAACGGCCCACCAAACCGACGAUGGAUAGGGGUUCUGAGAGGAAGGUCCCCCACAUUGGUACUGAGACACGGACCAAACUCCUACGGGAGGCAGCAGUGAGGAAUAUUGGUCAAUGGGCGUAAGCCUGAACCAGCCAAGUCGCGUGAGGGAUGAAGGUUCUAUGGAUCGUAAACCUCUUUUAUAAGGGAAUAAAGUGCGGGACGUGUCCCGUUUUGUAUGUACCUUAUGAAUAAGGAUCGGCUAACUCCGUGCCAGCAGCCGCGGUAAUACGGAGGAUCCGAGCGUUAUCCGGAUUUAUUGGGUUUAAAGGGUGCGUAGGCGGCCUUUUAAGUCAGCGGUGAAAGUCUGUGGCUCAACCAUAGAAUUGCCGUUGAAACUGGGAGGCUUGAGUAUGUUUGAGGCAGGCGGAAUGCGUGGUGUAGCGGUGAAAUGCAUAGAUAUCACGCAGAACCCCGAUUGCGAAGGCAGCCUGCCAAGCCAUGACUGACGCUGAUGCACGAAAGCGUGGGGAUCAAACAGGAUUAGAUACCCUGGUAGUCCACGCAGUAAACGAUGAUCACUAGCUGUUUGCGAUACACUGUAAGCGGCACAGCGAAAGCGUUAAGUGAUCCACCUGGGGAGUACGCCGGCAACGGUGAAACUCAAAGGAAUUGACGGGGGCCCGCACAAGCGGAGGAACAUGUGGUUUAAUUCGAUGAUACGCGAGGAACCUUACCCGGGUUUGAACGCAUUCGGACCGAGGUGGAAACACCUUUUCUAGCAAUAGCCGUUUGCGAGGUGCUGCAUGGUUGUCGUCAGCUCGUGCCGUGAGGUGUCGGCUUAAGUGCCAUAACGAGCGCAACCCUUGCCACUAGUUACUAACAGGUAAAGCUGAGGACUCUGGUGGGACUGCCAGCGUAAGCUGCGAGGAAGGCGGGGAUGACGUCAAAUCAGCACGGCCCUUACAUCCGGGGCGACACACGUGUUACAAUGGCGUGGACAAAGGGAAGCCACCUGGCGGCAGGGAGCGAAUCCCCAAACCACGUCUCGGUUCGGAUCGGAGUCUGCAACCCGACUCCGUGAAGCUGGAUUCGCUAGUAAUCGCGCAUCAGCCAUGGCGCGGUGAAUACGUUCCCGGGCCUUGUACACACCGCCCGUCAAGCCAUGGGAGCCGGGGGUACCUGAAGUCCGUAACCGCGAGGAUCGGCCUAGGGUAAAACUGGUGACUGGGGCUAAGUCGUAACAAGGUA
rnacentral:rRNA from 1 species